CGACCCGACCAUUUGCCAUCUCUAACUCUUCUUACAUCUGCGUCGCCACUGGCUCCGCCUCCUCCCUGAGCGCGUUUGCCUCGCACCACCGCCACCCUGAGCGUCCCUUCCACCGCGGCCGCCCCCUUCCCCCGCCGCUCUCCGCUGUUCCCUCAUCAACAUGACCGCUCUGCCCCCCUCCCUGCUACCCCCUCCUCAACUCCACCGCCUGCCGUCGCCUGCACCUUCCUCACUUGCGCCGUCCUCCUUGAUUCCUUCCUCCACCGUGAGGUAAGAGCGCAAGGACGGUGGCAGUGCUGAUAGCAGAGAGAAAAGGAGAGGGAGACGAGUGCGGCGUGAAAUAGCACGGGGAAGGACACACAGGGAAGGGUCACCGCACGCCGCGGCCUCCCUCCCUGUACACUCCCGUGCAAGGAGAGGAGGCACUGCUUCCUCGCAGGCCAGGUGCUCGACGAAAAUCCACUAUUAACGACGUCAGCGUGCUGGGGCUGGAGGCACGGGAGAGGCAAGGAGAAACGAAGCGACGGCAGGCUCCUCCCCUUCCCGAUGCCUCCGGCGACCUCGCCAUGGCCUCUUGCGCCUCGUCGAUGUAGAUCGCGGCUCCCGUGCCGUCCGAGUCUGCCGUCAUGCCAUGGACUACGACAGCUGCUCUGCAUCGCCGUCGCUGCUUCCUCUCGUUUGCCCUCUCCAUAUCUACCAACAUCCAGUACCAGCAUCCCGAGGAAGAAAAAAAGUGAUGAGUUUUCACUAAUGGAUAAGUUUAUCUCCUAUGGAUAUAUAUGCCUGAUUGAUGCAUCAAAGUAAACACAGAAGAGCUGAAAAAAGGAGUCAGCACAAAUUGUUUAUCUCCUAUGGCCUCGUUUAUCUCCUAUGGAUAAGUUUAUCUCCUAGUAUGAUUUCAAAGAGAGACUAAUUGUUGAAGAGGAACUGCGAAGUUCUCCUGCAUGUUUGAGAAAAAAAAAGAAGUUAGAGUAAUUGCUAAAGCAAUCAUAAACGAGGUUACAGUCUCCCUGACCAAAAUUCUUAAAAUGUACACAUUGCCCCAAAUGUGCUACUUCAACAGUAGGAGUAAGAAGUUAGUACUGAUUUCCUUUUUCUCAAUUACUCAUAUAAGAAGUGCUUCAUUCUUAAUUUUAGAAGCUUUCACCUAUGUUUCACAUUGUUAAAUCAAAUGAAUUUCCAAUCUGUAUCUUAUCCUUUCUUCUGAAGGGUCAAAAAAAGGUACACUUAUGAGAAAAAUAUUCAUGAUUAUCCCUGAAUGCUUCAUCCUCCCACUUUCUCCAUUUAUGGAUCUACCAGAAUGUAAAGAUUAGGAUCAAUAUGGCAUUAAUGCAAAUCAAAACACAAUUAUCCUGAUUAAAAAAUGCAUGACACAAGCAGUCGGUUUUCCUUUAUUGUUUACAUUCUCUUGCCUGUAAGCUUUUCAUUAUUUCAGUCUGACAGGCCACGACAAUUCUAGACGGCUCAAGGAUCUGGGGGCGCCAUCUUUUCAGUGCUAUUGUCAGAAAUUCGUCAGAAGAGAAUUCAAGUUCAGAAGGCAGUUUUUUGCCAUGAAGGAAGGGCGAGGAAUGUAAGAGGCUCAUAAGUUGGCCAAAGUGGCUAUGAAUUAGAGGUAGGUCGUCAUAUUUGCUACAUGUAUCCACCUGAUAUUAUUUUUGUA